rnacentral:rRNA from 1 species
AGAAUCAACGCUGGCGGCGUGCCUAACACAUGCAAGUCGCACGAGAAAGGGACUUCGGUCCUGAGUAAAGUGGCGCACGGGUGAGUAACACGUGAAUAAUCUACCUCCGAGUGGGGAAUAACUGAGAGAAAUCUUAGCUAAUACCGCAUAAUACCCACGGGUCAAAGCAGCAAUGCGCUUGGAGAGGAGUUCGCGGCCGAUUAGCUAGUUGGCGGGGUAAUGGCCCACCAAGGCGAUGAU